CGGCUGGAGGGAUUGUAGUGCUGGGAAGAUGGGGGCGCCCCUGCCCGCGCCUCACGUCUCCUCCACCCCCAGGCGGGUGUCCAGGGUGACGACUGAAGGUCGCGGCAUAACACUCAACGAUAAAAAGAUGAACUAUCGAUGCACCCAGCAGCCUGUGCGAGUCUGCAGAGAAUUAUGCUGAACGAAAAAUGCCAAUCCCAAAAUGGUCCAUCCUCACUUUCUGGCUUGUAACACCUCAUUUGGUAGCCCACCUGCCAUUGCGACCCACCCAAGGACCCUCCCCAAACGCUCUGCCUUGAUUUCCGGUGUCCUGGGAUGGCCCUACAGAGCAGAAAGCAGAUUUUCCCCGCUUGUGUAAAGUUCCUAAUGAAAAUAACUGCAGCUGCUGUUUGCACACCAGCGUCAGCGGGUGGUCUGUCUGCGGCUGAUGUUUUCCUUGGGUUCAGAAGUGAGGACAUGCUCUCGCUGUGACAUGCUCUCGUGCCAGCAGAAGACAGGCCACCUUGUCUUGUGAGCCCAGGAGGUCCUGGGGGACGUUUUCAUUUUAGAAUGACCUUUAUCCGAGGGAAAAGUUGUAGAGGCAUUUCCGAAUGUAUUAGAAUGUCCUCAAAGAUGAAAUGUGGUUGUUCUCGCCCCUUUCUUGUGAGACUCACUGAGAUGAUGUCCUCAUAUCAUCUUUGUGUCACAGAAGGUAAAUGAGUGCAACUAAGAAAGGUAGGUGUAGGCGCUCUGAAAUAACUGAAGGUAGGCUUCCUUACAAGGAGGGCGAGUGACGCUGUUGUCCCGUGGGAGAGGUGUGUUCACGUCUUUUUUGCUACGAGGACCUAUAAGGAAAACAGCCAGACCUCCGGGUGGUGUGGAUCCCGUGGGAGGACCCGGUAACUGUGGAGCAGCAGGUGCUGGAACCAGCCCGGGAGCCGUCCAGUCCUUGGUGUGGGAAUGAAAGCGCUGAGCUCUAAGAGAGACCAAGAUGCGACAUCACCUCUGAAAACCAGCAGGUGCAGGGAGCACCUGGGGCCGCGCUUUGGUUCAAGUCCACCACGCGACAGCACCAUCUUGUGGUCGCGCGAGGAAUCACAGGUCACAGCCCCGUCCACCACCUGCCACCUUUCACCUGAAGCACGGCGGCCCAGACACUCCUGACCUCUGCAUAUCCCAUUUGUCUGCGUUGCUGCAGAGCCGUUUUCCCGAUGCACAACUCUGCUUCUGUGACCCCGCAGCUCAGAAUUCUUCAGGGACUCUCCGCAGCCUGUAAGGUAAAACACAAAUGUGUUGUCCUGACAGAUGAGGCCCUUUCAUAGGUGUCCAGCCUGAACUGCCUCAUAUUUAGUGGUCCAGCAAUAGUAGGUUCUCUGCCUCCUCAACCAUGAGCACUUUUGUGAGUUUCCCCAUCCCUCGUCUGGAAUUCUCUCCUCCUGGGUGUCACCUGGGCUCAUCCUCAUUCUUCAGAUCUCAGCUGAGUGUCAUGGAUUCUGGGACCCCUUCUUAACUCCCCAGCCAGACUUCCAGCUGCUUCUCCUUUUCCUGCCCCUCAGGCUUAGCGUCAUUACAGCACAUACCACAUCGACUGUCAUUUAUUUGCAUAUCCAUAUGAGGAGAAACCUCAGUUCAGUCUUUUCCCGAAUAGGGAAUAACCCAGUUCUUCUCUCCCAUGUUUCUCUUCUUCAUUCCUCGUACAAAGCACCUCACUUCUGACCCUUCUGGUCACCAAAUGUGUGCGAGGUUUUCCCACACCAAGCAAUUCUCAUGACACCAGCUGGGUGUCCUGCAGUUUAAGUCCAUUCUAACACUGUGUACCUGGAGACAGUGUCAGAUCCCACAGGUUAAGGGCUCAGCCCCACAAGGCUGCUCCCUGUCCCACAGAUGACGG